rnacentral:lncRNA from 1 species
GCUUCCCAAGCUCUGCUGAGGCUUAGACCCAUGGACCUAUUGAUGCGAGUAAGGCUCAGGGAAGCAGGGAUGGGGUGACAGGGGUCUGUACCCCAUGUGCUGGCUGUGACCAGUGCUUGCUGUGUUUCUCAGCAGUGUGUCUCCCGCCACAUGUCAGAGCUGACCUCACUUCUUGCCAGUAACUCCCCAACGAUGAAAGCAGAUACGAACAGUGGGCUCCUGUGCACUGGGUCUGCUUCCAUGGGUAGAGCCCCCACUCCAGAUGGAUUCGAGCCCUCGCUGCCACUUCACCCCUCUCCCUGUUGCAUCAUUUCCC